rnacentral:lncRNA from 1 species
ACACCUCUCCCUCUCUCCCUCUCUCUCCCUUUCUGGACCUCUCACGAGCAGGGGCGCCUUUCCUCCCUCCCAUCCUCCUCCUCCUCCGGUCGAUGGAGGAGCCGCCGGACCACGCCACGGCCACGAGGUACGUGCGAUGCGAGCUUUCCCUCUCUCCAGACGGUUUGAUUUAUGUGUGGUUCGGGCGAAAUUCGCGAUUUCAUGGUGGAAUUAUCUGGUCCUCUGCCUUGCGCUAUUGUUGACCGUGGGCUUCAGUUUUGUGGCUGGUGCUCGUUUGUUUGAGGGUUCCAUUCCCGAUUCGGGUGGAAUUCGUCAUCCUCCUUGUUGGUUGUUCGCCCGCGAGCUGGAGCGGAUUUGAUUGGAGGGGGGGUUGGACAUGGGGUCUCGUUGAGGAGGGGAUCGGAUGAUGUGGGAUUGCAGGUCUGGUGCUGGUUUGUGCCCCCCUGAUUGGAUCUGACGGUGUAGUUCAUUGAGAGGUUUCGGCUCGCGGAUUAAGGAUUUGAAAUGCAUGGCUACGUUGGGCUGCACUUCAGAUUCUUGACGGAAAAAGGUUACUGAGAUUGCAAUAUGACAUUGCUGAAUUGGUGGAAGGUGCAGUGCAGAUGCAAGCAUAGGGAAGUAUUGCCUUUUUAAGGGGGGUAUGGAUGUCAGUUUUCCACCUCUUGUCACCUGUCAACUAACUCCAUUUGUGUCGCUAGCAUAGUUGGAAACUUUGAAUUGACAUUGUGUCACUUUUCGGAAAGACACCUCAACAACUUUGUUCUCCACUAAGGAAAACAACGCUGUCUCUUUAUCGUCAUGAAUGAUGACAUUUCUCAAUAGCCACACUCACCUAAGGAAACAAAUGGAUCCUGGGCUCUCAGCCUGGUUUUUCAAUAAAAAAUCAGUAAAAUAAGACAGUUUGGAGCUUCAGAAAUUCUGAAUUUUUUUUCACAUGUAGAUGCUCACUACAUGCCUGUAAAUUUGAAUAUUAAUUUCUAGGCUACAAAUAUGUGGAUUUUAACAUGUCUACUAUUUGCUACACCUUCCGUUCCAUAAGAGGUAAAUACACUGCAAGUCAUAGAACUUGCACGCGACGGUCAGUAUGGUGCAUAAACUUGUAAAAUAUGUGUUUCUGGUCAUCUAACUUGUCCCUCCGUUCAUAUACGGUGCUUUCUACCGUAUUCAGCUGUAUCAUGUCAAUACAUGGCGUGUCAACGUGGCAGGGGUCCAUUGUCAGCGGUGGGUAACCCGUGUGCACUAUUUUUUUUCUUCAGGAAGCACCCUUGCAUAUUUUUAUUUAUGCAAAAAAAUCCUUAAAUAAAAUGAAAAAUGAUGAACGAACAUUGGGAUUCAAACAGAACACCUGCUACGAUCCGCCACGCUUCGAUAACCAAUUGACCUACAUAUUGUUCACACUCUUGGAGCACAAUUAGCUUUAUAUAAGAAAUAUUGUGCGGCCUUAAAAAAAGACAGUACAAGCUAAAAUAGAAACCAAAACGAGAAAAAGGGAAGGCACCGGUUCGAACCUAUGACCACAUUUUUUAGAAGAACCUAUGAACACAUAAGCUCGCCGCGUGUGGGAGCACCAACCAUCCGGCCACAAUGAGUUAAAAAAAAUCAGCCACAAUGACAUUUAAAUAGAUAAACACAAUUUAUCUUAUGUAUUCUUCUUUCUCUUUUCUAUUUACAAUAAAAUAUAGUUCAUAAUGAAUAUACGUCAAUUUCUUUCGGACAAUCAACAGAACUCAUUAUAAAUUCGAAAAUCUAGAUAAAAAAAUUAUAUGUAAAAAAUAAUGUACAUAAAUUUUUCGGAGAAAUUAACUAUUUUUUGUUUGAAUUCAAAUAAUUUAAAAAUUAAAAUAUGGAAAAGUGAAUAUAGUGCACAGUAAAUAUAGUGCACAAUGAAUAUACACAUUUUAUGGGGACAAAUCAGAAAACUUUGUUUCAAAUCGAAUAAUUCAAAAUUUGAAAAUCUAGAGAAAAGGAAUGUGGCUCAUAAUGAAUGUAAGUAUUGUUCGGACAAAUCAUCUAAUUUUUGUUUGAAUUUGAAUAAGCUAUAUAAAAGAAAUACAGUUCAUAAUCAAUGUACGCAAAUUUCUUUCAAACAAAUCACUGGAUAUUUUGUCUGAAUUCGAAUAUAUUAAAAUUGGAAAAUCUUGAUAAACGAAAAUACAGGUCCGAAUGAAAUUUACGUAAUUUUUUCCCGGAAAAAUCAAAUAAUUUUUUUCUUUAAAUUCGAAUUUUAAAUUAAAAAUCUAGAUAAAAGAAAAUGUUGUGCAGAAGGAAUGUAUGUAAUUUUCUUUCAAACAAAUCAGUAGAAAUUUUGUUUGAAUCUGAAUCAUUUUGAAUUGGAAAAUGUAGAGAAAAGAAAAUAUAUUCAGAAUGUGUACUUUUAUCCAAGAGGUGAUAUACCUUAGUAGUCCAAAUGAAACAGCAAGCACGAUCAGUUGAGGUGGUUAGGUUGUUAGCGCCAUUACAACAGUUUGUAGUUUCGAACUCGCUCCGUCCCUUUUUUUUCCAGCCAAAUAUUUUUACAGCGAAUACUGACGGCUGAGACCCAGCGGACAACUAUUGUUGGAGUGCUUUUGUACAAAGUUAAAAAACGAGGGUGUUUUUGCAGAAAAAACAUCACGUGCACUAGGCACUGACAAAUGGGCCCUUGCUACACCGGCAUUGCCAUGUAGGCAGCAAAUACAUCCACGUACGGAAAAUAUGACCGUAUUUGCACACCCGCACAAGUUUAAUGACCAGAAACACGUAUUUUGUAAGUUCGUGCACCAAACUGAUCGUCGUGCGCAAGUUGUAAGACUUCUAAUGUAUUUAACUCGUUCCAUAAUCUAGUGUAUAUAGAUAUUUUCAAAAAUCAAACGUCGUUAACUUUGAACAAGUUUGUAGAGAAAAAUAUCUACAUCUACAAUACCAUAAAUAUCAUUAUAUACAUCAUGAGUGGUAGUUUUAUAUUGUGCUCCCUCUGUAAAGAAAUAUAAGAGCGUUAGAUCACUAAAUGCUCUUAUAUUUAACGCUAUUAUAUUUCUUUACGGAGGGAGUACUUAUUUGGUAUUUUUUAUGUUGAUAUUUUUCUCAACAAACUUGGUCAAACUCUGCAAUGUUGGAAUUUUCAAAAAAUAUACACGCGAUAUAUUAUGGAACGAAGGAAGUAUUACAUAUUCCCCCAUUUACACCUACAGGCAGAUCCUUACAGGAUUGAUGUUACGGACUGAGUUGUCAAACUAUGUUUGGGGAUUAGGGAGGGUGGGGUCCAUUAGUUAAAAAUCAAGGGGAGCAGUUAUUGGUGGGAAAGGAGUCCGUAAGCAGCAGUCCGUAGGGGAUCCCGUAAGUCUAGCAUUUUUGUUGUUUGUAUACCCACAAUUUAGAAGUUUUUUGAAUGAAAUGUGUAGCAAGGGCCCAUUUGUAGGCCAUGUCUAUAUUUUCAUGUUGGAUUUUUUUCCAAAUAAUUUGGAAGCUUAUCAACAUGAUUUCUUCUUUUUUCAAAAUUUCCAGGCUCCCUGGAGCCAAGCGGCCGCACUCUAAGCAUUCACACAUUGCCCUAGAAAGAAACUUUUGUUUGCUAAAUCCUACAGAUAAUUUACGCUCCCCACAACACUGUCACAGUAAACAAGUUUAACUGCCUUUUAUUGAGCACAGAAAACAAAAGAAUUAUCUUGAUUACAUCCUCUAGUUAGUCAUAUUUUUACGUUUCCAGCUUUUUUACUUUUGUUGGUGAAAUUCAUAGCAAUCGAUAUGAAAAAGUUGUACAAGAAGCCCAAAGUUGUAAAAAACAGUUCCUUAGGGCAACUCCAACGCGGAUCACCAAACCACCCCUAAACGUCCGGACCGGGGUGUCCGGACGUUUUUAGCAACCCAACGCGGUGCUCAAAUGUCCGUAGACGCGUCCAGGCAUCCAAAAUCCCGCAAACCGUCCACUAACUCGUGGGAGGUUUGUGGGAGUUCGGACCUUCGCCACGAAAGCUUCUGAUACCCUUUGCCCCCCCAAAUCCCCUCUCCCGGACCCCUUUCCCCCACUCUGUCCCUCCCCUUUGCUCUGUAUCCACACCAUCCGAGUUCGCCGCCGCUGCCGCUCUACCACCCUGACUGCCGCUCAGGCCUUGCUGAACAUCCGCCGCCGCCGCUCUACCACCCGAGCUUCCGCUCAGGCCAUGCUGAACAUCCGCCGCCCCACCCACGCUCCUGCCCGCCUUGGACUACGCCGCCGUUUCACUCCGGAUCUGUCCGCAGCCAGGUAUCCCCCACCCCUGUUGAUGCCGUCCAUGGUGGACACCACGCCCGGCAAGUGUUCGGCCAAAUGCUAAUGAGAAUUUUUUUGACGUUAUCGUUGUUUACUUUGAAGCAAACAUGAUGACCGUAUGAAAGAAAACAGGGGCGGAUAUUUGGUGCAUAGGGUUGGAUGGCCGGUUUCCCUAUCGGUGUCUACGGAUGCGUAAGCGGGCGUUUGGUGUGUCCGAUUUGGUGAUCCGCGUUAGAGUUGCCCUUAUUUCAGCCCACCCAUGGACCCAUUCUGCAUAUAUUACAAAGGAAAAUACGUGUGAAUUCUUGGCAUUCCAUUUCUUACGUUUUAAAGAUGGAAAAUAAGUUGUGAUUUAGUUUUACGAUGCAUAGUGGAAUUGAGAAGAUCCAGCUCUGGAACUUCCGGUUCCAAUCGGAGCAUAUAGAUCCGUAAAUGGAUUUGUAUGUAUAGCCACUUCAGUCGUGCUCCUCGUUUCUCGAAUGGAAAAAAAGUAUCUUCUUUCUGAGAACAUGCUCUACUAUUUUGCAUUUGUUAAUAGCACUGUUAUGAUUUAUUAUUAUUAUUUUCUUUAGAUAUUCUUAACAUAUGGAUUAAGGAAUUUAUACAAGAGGGAAGCCUGUUCUUGUUUCAGCCGGAUCUCAGACUCAUAAUUGAUUGAGUUGGAAAUAAGGAAAGAACACUUCUUGGUAAUCACUAAAUCUUGUUUUUUGUACCAUCACUUUUUGUUGAAGUAUGCUCACUUGCCAUCAUUUGUUUUGUGCAUAUCGUUAUCUAGAACUGACGACUUCCAUGAGCCCAUUAGAACAUGCUUGUGAUGAUUACGCUUUGGUAACUUCAAACAUUAAACUAAAAAAAGACUUCAAACAUUGCAUGAUGUCAGCAAUCUGAAUGAAGUAGCCCCUAAAAAUGUGAGCAAUGCAUUUGAGUGAUUAUAUUUUAUUGUUUACCUGCCAAUCAUCAGCUAAUGAGAAAUUUUCUGCAGAAGGUAAAACUAACUCUCCAACAGGGCAUUUAUUGAUUGAAACAUAAUAACUGGGAUGGUUAAUGAUUUUCUUUUUAGCCUUUGUCCUUUACAGACUGGGCACUGACAAAUUACAAGUAGUGUCAUUUUUAACUUCUGCCACUAAGUAGUUGGAUGUGUAAUUGCCUACCGCACAGUUCACUAGAUAAGCCUAGUUCUAAAUUGCUGUUUGUAGGAAAAAUAAAUAUUGUAAAAUUUUGCAAUUGAGAACAAGUAGAUAAUAGUUGGGGUAUAAAAAAGGAAGUUGUAUUUUGUUUUUUUUGGCAUAACAGCUACACUUUGGUAUGCUGUAAUAUGAACGGUAUAUCUAUUUGUUCUCGUAAUGAUGGAUCAUAGCUAUCAUACAAUCCAAAGAUAUACAUUGGUUAACAACUAGACCAUUAACUCAGUGAAGACACCAACUACUAAUUAGUAGCUAUUGAUAGUUCAACUACGUUGCAAAAUCCCUCAAGCUAAAUCAUAGAUCAUUGAUAAACACGUAACAUGCGAAACUGUGAUAUCGCGGGCUAGAGAAGAGGGAUGAGAAUGAUGGGACGAUGGAGACGCGUUUUUAUCGUUUUGGAAGGAACUGUUUUGGCUACAUGAAGGUUUAAUAUUAUCCUACUGUUGUGCAGAGAACAUCGCAUUGUUCCAACUAAUAUCCAACUAGGAACGCGCACAGAUUUGAGUGGCUAACAUAAAGAUCUUGUGUGGGUGCCAGUAAAUUCGACAUACAACUCACAAAAAUCAGCUGAUGAAGGGAACCUUUUUAAGUUAUAUUCCACCCUGCAACUGUACUAUGACCUUA